CCUACGGGAGGCUGCAGUGGGGAAUAUUGCACAAUGGCGGAAACCCUGAUGCAGCGACGCCGCGUGAGUGAAGAAGUAAUUCGUUAUGGAAAGCUCUAUCAGCCGGGAAGAAAAUGACGGUACCUGAGUAAGAAGCCCCGGCUAACUACGUGCCAGCAGCCGCGGUAAUACGUAAGGGGCCAGCGUUAUCCGGAUUUACUGGGUGUAAAGGGAGCGUAGACGGCAGUGCAAGUCUGGAGUGAAAGGCGGGGGGUCAACCCCCGGACGGCUCUGGAAACUGUACGGCGGGAGUGGAGGAGAGGUAAGUGGAAUUCGUAGUGUAGCGGUGAAAUGCGUAGAUAGUAGGAAGAACACCAGUGGCGAAGGCGGAUUACUGGACUGUAACUGACGUUGAGGCUCGAAAGCGUGGGGAGCAAACAGGAUUAGAUACCCGUGUAGUC
rnacentral:rRNA from 1 species